GCAAAGACAUGCAAUCUUCUGGACUGAUUUCCGGGACAGAUACCUCCCAUACCUCACAUUCACAAAGCCACAGCAGCACUACAGAGAGGAAAACAGGCAAUCUAAACAUCAGUCUUGACGUGCAAGAUAAACUAGUUACACAAACAUCCUUGGCUAUAGCUCUACAGAACCUGUAUAGGAACGAUAUUCAUGUGGAUGGAGAGGAGGCCGCAGGAGUCCUCGCUGCUGCAUUUUUGUUGCAGUUUCCAGCUCUUUUCCAGGAGUGUGUGCUAACAAUGAGGAGUGGGAUUUCUGAAACAAAUGUCUGCUUAUAUUACAGCGCCGCCUGCAAGUAUAAACAGUACGCACUCAUUCAGGCCUGCGAAGAAUGGCUUCUACUAAAUCUAGUGGCGAAGCUUGGUUCAAACAUCAUGCUGCGCGAUCUUCCAUAUGAGCUGUUGCUGAGACUGCUGAAAUCCCACAGGCUCUUUACCUACAGUGAGUACAGACUACUUAGAACUGUUCUGUAUUGGGUGUACUUACAGCACAACCGUACUGUACAAAUUGUGCCAAAUUCCCACCAUGUCCUAAAUUAUUUCAAGAGCUUUCCCAAACAUUGUGCCUUCCUCCAGCAAGCACACGGUGAGCAAUACAUAGCUUUGUUCCAGUCUCUACGUCUCCACGGCAUUACAGAGAGUAAACAGAUAGAAGUGAUCACACAGAUAAAUAUCUUACCCCCGGACUGGAUGAUCCAGCUCCUCUUCAACCACUGUGAAGCUCUGAAGAAUGGAGGAGAACUAUAUAAUCUCAUGGAUUUUAACACACACGCUGUCUGAUUUGGGUUAAUUGUGAACAAGGAACCAAAAUAUAUCUUUCAAAUUGUGUCACGUUAUGGAUUCUUUUUUGAACUAAAAGCGUUACAACAUAAACCAGGUUUAUUCAGCUUCUACAUUCAGAGGUUGAAACACACAGACCCCAUGUUGUCUCAUCAAACCUUGGAGAACGAAUGUUUCAGUCUGCGGCAGGAACGUGAAAUUCAAUAUGAGAUUAGAGUGCAGAGGUUGGCAGACAAAAAAUGUCAAGAAUUCACCACUGGUACUUUAACCCAAAAAUUUGGAGUAACACCCAAAACCCGAAAAAGCCAGGUUUUGAGAUUGUUUUUGCCAUCAGUUCCGUUAUACGUCACCUAUUCCUUCCUAUUUCUACCAACUUUAAGUUAGGCCACAGGAGGCCAUAACGUAUUUCAACAGUUAGAACUUACUUCAUAUCUAGUUGGGAGUCUGAACAUAUGAAACGUUGAAUAAUACCAUAAGCUAAAACCUUGUAAA